CACGUAGGGGGCGAGCGUUGUCCGGAUUCAUUGGGCGUAAAGGGCGCGCAGGCGGCUCGGAAAGUCGGGUGUGAAAACUCGGGGCUCAACCCCGGGCGUGCAUCCGAUACUGCCGGGCUUGAGGCAGGUAGGGGAGAUCGGAAUUCCUGGUGUAGCGGUGGAAUGCGCAGAUAUCAGGAGGAACACCUAUAGCGAAGGCAGCUUGCUGGGACGUAACUGACGCUAAGGCGCGAAAGCGUGGGGAGCGAACAGG
rnacentral:rRNA from 1 species